CACGGAGUUAGCCGGUGCUUAUUCAUCUGGUACCGUCAAGCUCCUUAGAUAAGAAGUGUUUCGUCCCAGAUAAAAGAAGUUUACAACCCAGAGGGCAUUCAUCCUCCACGCGGCAUGGCUGGUUCAGACUUGCGUCCAUUGACCAAUAUUCCUUACUGCUGCCUCCCGUAGGAGUCGGGCCCGUGUCUCAGUGCCCGUGUGACUGGUCGCGCUCUCACGCCAGUUACUGAUCGUCGGCUUGGUGAGCCGUUACCUCACCAACUACCUAAUCAGACGCACGCCCAUCUUCAAGUGAUAAAUCUUUAAAUGCUGUCUCAUGCGAGACUACAUUCCUAUGGGGUAUUAAUCCAAAUUUCUCUGGGCUAUUCCCCGCUUGAAGGAAGGUUGCGUACGUGUUCCGCACCCGUUUGCCGGUCGCCACCCAGUAUUGCUACCUGUGCUGCCCCUCGACUUGCGUGUAUUAGGCCUGCCGCUAGCGUUCAUCCUGA
rnacentral:rRNA from 1 species